UACGAAGGGGGCUAGCGUUGUUCGGAAUCACUGGGCGUAAAGCGCACGUAGGCGGUCAGUCAAGUCGGGUGUGAAAGCCCUGGGCUCAACCUGGGAAUUGCAUUCGAAACUAUCUGACUCGAGUAUGGGAGAGGGAAGCGGAAUUUCCGGUGUAGCGGUGAAAUGCGUAGAUAUCGGAAGGAACACCAGUGGCGAAGGCGGCUUCCUGGACCAAUACUGACGCUGAGGUGCGAAAGCGUGGGGAGCAAACAGG
rnacentral:rRNA from 1 species